rnacentral:tRNA from 1 species
GCCAGGGUAGCUCAGUGGUUGAGCAUCUACCCAUGAACCAGAAGGUCAUGGUUAGAUUCCAGGUCAGGGCA